rnacentral:rRNA from 1 species
UACGAAGGGGGCUAGCGUUGCUCGGAAUGACUGGGCGUAAAGGGCGCGUAGGCGGUUUGCACAGUCGAGGCGUGAAAUUCCUGGGCUUAACCUGGGGGCUGCCGCUUGAUACGUGUGGACUGGAGUGCGGAAGAGGGUCGUGGAAUUCCCAGUGUAGAGGUGAAAUUCGUAGAUAGUUGGGAAAGAACACCGGUUGGCGAAGGCGGGUCUCUGGGCCGAUACUGACGCUGAGGAGCGAAAGCGUGGGGAGCGAACAGG